AUGGCUAUGGGCUGAAGCUUUGAGUAAAAGAGAAUGAAAAAUGAAAUGGCUUGAAGAAUCCUCAAGAGAGUGACAAUGCUUGUUGAAUUUUUAUGAAAAUGCAACAUUGAAAAGGGUUGGAAGGGCUCCAAGGUACGUUUUUAACUAUUGAAUUACAAUGAAAAUUGUUUGGACUUGUUAGUUCAAAGUUUAAAUUGAGUUUAGCUUGUGAAACUCAAAGAUUUCAUUUGUAUACUGAUUAUAUAUGUUGGUGUGAAAUAGUUUAUCUUGCAUGUACCUAACAAAAUGAUUAUGUUUGCUUGAUUAUAUUUCUAUUUGUCCAUUUUCUUAAAGGUUUUGAGUGAACUCAAGUUUAUGGUAGAUUGGGGUACAUUAAAGUUUAUUGAACUUAUUCUUCA